GCCAGGUGAGACACAAAUUGAAAAACACUCACCUGCAACGGACACAACCGCCACUCUCAGCCAAGGAACAGGACGCGCCGGACGCAGCUGUUCAGUUGCCCGCGCCGCUAGAAACUUUGCCUGGGAAUUUGUCAACUCAGAAAUUUCAGUCAUUGUUUCUGGUCGUGUGUGCAACGGGCGUCCCCGAGCGGCCGGCCCCCGUACAGGCUUUCACUGCCACGCGCAAGUAAACCAGCGCGCUCGGUCCCCCCCGCGCCCGACAUGUGAAACAUGGCGGGCACGGUGGCGGUGUUUCCACAGGCGGACGGCGUGCGAGCAUGCGAGGUAUGUUGGUGAACCAGCUCCGCUCUGCGAUGAUGGGCGGAACCCCUCCCUUGCUGAGGCCCGAUUGAUUGACAGCCAAUUAAAGCGUAAGGAGUGAUCAAUAACCACACCCGGUGUCCAUUUGACGAAGUCCUCUGUGUGUUUUUAGAAGCACUGAUGCUCAGGAUGUUUAGCACCCCUGCUUCCAUUGCACUGGAAGCCACCAUAUUGUUCCACCUGAUGACUCUAAAGCCACGCUUGACAGGACGUACAGAACAUCAUGUCAUGGUUGCCAAAUAAAGGCUCUGUGCGGCUCACGGUGUGCAAACGUUGUCAUGCUCCUCCUUUCUGGCUUGAUUGCGGUUCAUCAUUUGCAUACGCACACAGCUGAAGGCACGCUUGGAACUGGUUUUUUCCCCCAAACUGGUUUCCCUUUCAUUUCGUUGCCGGAGCGAGUGAGAGAAUUACACGCACGCGAGCAUGAAAGGACAUGAUGGAGAAUGUAAAAGAUGAGUCAAUUCGCUAAAAACCAAAGAAACAUGCAGAUGGAGAUUUGCUGGACGGUGUUUGGCUUCAAACGCACGCAAAAGGCCGCAGGAAAGGAAAGGGGCCUGCAGGCGAGGGUGUCCAAUGUGCGGACUGGGGGUCAUUUGUAGGCGCUCGUCUUCACGUAGUAGAAAUUAAAUUUUAAAAAAAUUUAAAAAAGAGAAAAAAUGUGUAAUGUAUGAAGAAAGAGUUGAAAUACUAGCACUAGUAAUAAAUAAUAAUCGGCUAUAAGCAGAGACAAGGAAUACAUAUCAUGGCUGCCCUCACUAAUAUACUGUAUUUGUUUGACUAAAUGGAUGAAGAACCUGAAUACGUUGUUCAGUUUGGACACCCUUACCUUCAUUCAUGUGUUCAUCAUUGCACGUAUUUCUUACAUGAGUGUGACACACGACAGGUUUGGGCCUUUUUAUGAUAUUUAGGAAUUUAACAUUGCUUGCAUUUUUCUUCUGAUUAUCAAUGAAAAUUGGUUGAAAAAAGGUUCAAUUAAAUAUAUAGAAAAAGUAAGACAUGUAAACAGGGAGAUUUAAAUAUAUAUUUUUUUAAAAGUAUUUCCUGAUACCUCCAAGAGGACAGGCGUGACUUGGCCAGGCAGGUAAUAAUGAUAUGGAGUGCAUGAAAAAGUGGAAAGGACAACCUCAGGGCCAAAGCACAGCACAGCAGCAACAGAACCAAUGUUGUAAUAGCGGUAGAGUAAAGAGUUAGCAUUAACAGACAAGUGGAAGACGCCAACUGACAAGCCUUUAAGAUAAAAAUAAAGCUGUCAAAUGAGAUAAUUGGCAACCUGGCAACCACAGGACACCUGGAGGUGACCUGAUCAUAAGUGGAGCAUUUACGCUUGUUGGGGUAAUAAGCUUUAUUUCCAGGACGCUUGAACACCUGCACUACAGGUUUGAUUCAGGGCGCGGUACCAUGACACAGCAGUUAUUCAUUUCCUACAUCACUUAUCCUGGGGGGGAACCCAGUUCAAUGUAAAAACACAUUACGUGCAUCUCAUGGGGGGGAGAACACCAGGGUAUCUGAUAAAAGAUGACGUAUGAAUAUUUAUGAUACAGCAGAUUAUUGUUAUCAUGCAGAGGCCGUGUUUUCCUGAAUGAGCAACUGCUAGCGAUGUACGAUACCACGGAUUAUGUUUCCAAUCCGAUACACAGUAACAUUCAGGCCGGUGUCAUGCAGCGAUAUCAAUCCCACCGCUGUAUGCAAAUUCACCGAAUGUGUCUGGUCAAUUUUAAAGUCAUCUAUUUCAUAUCAUAGCAUACGGAAUGCUUAUUUGAAUAACUAUUCACUGAAAUAAAUGCAGUACUUAACUGAAGUAGUCUGGAUGUGCCCCGCCUCUCGCCCAAAGUCAGCUGGGAUAGACUCCAGCAUAACCGUGACCCUAGUGAGGAUAAGCAGCAUAGAAAAUGGAUGGAUGAAUUGAUUUGAAUGGUGAAGUGUACUGAGGUAGCAGGGGUGAUUUACAAUACAGCCAAUUCAUCCUCUCAACAGACAAUGUUACCAAGUUGCAAAAAGCAUCCAUAUUCUGACUUCAGUAUCGAUUUUAGAGCAUGAAGAGCUGGUGUUGGAAGUAUGGAUCUGCACACCACAAGCAACCACAACCCUUGUUGACUUAUUUAGCUUCAUGUGUAGUAGUAGUAGUAGUAGCAAUAGUAAUAUCAAUAGUAGUAGUACUAGCAAUAGCAAUAGUAAUAGUAAUAGUGAUAGUAGUGAGCAGUGGCAGAGCCAGAAAUGUUUCAUUGGGGUGUCCAGAGAGUGACCGGGGGUGAGCACCCCGUAGCUCCGCCACUGUUUCGGAAAGUCUAUUAGCGCGAUGAAUAGCUGAGCAGGCUGCCAAAGACUUUUCAAUGCAUAGUUUCUGGAUUCUGCUCACCAUCAUGGCGGCCAAACCCGCGCAUGGCAUAAUACGGAAGUACAUGCUGAUCGGCACUCCUGUUGUAACUGCUGCUUAAUAUGUGCUGAAUCACGCUUUAGAAUUGAAGUCAAAGUCUACGCAGUGAGAAAACUUAACGGGAACCGACCAAAGUCAUCAUUGAAAACUGACCUACCACUUGAAGUCCAUGCAAGACGCGCUUUUAUUGACAGCUCCUUCACAAAAUAGGCAGCGCUCUUCUGUUGUGUGCUGCAGUAAAAUGCGUCCAAGCGGAAACCGCGUUUAGGCUGAUCUAUGUUCCGAACCACAGAGCCGCGUUUGUCCAGGUUGUCCCCCAGCCGUGGGGGUGGCCGGAGAGUGACCAAGAGCCACGGCCACCCCGUCGCAGUGAGACAUGGCGACUGAAGCCACAUCGUUCACAUACCGUGGAAGCUCAAUUAGAUAGCAUCUUUAGUAUAUUUUUCGAUGAAGUCAAAAAGUUACGCCAAAUAUUUGCCUCGGUUAACGUCUUAAUACACUGCGUGAGUCCAACUGUGUUCAGAAUGGGUUUUUUUCUGAAAUCACAACGUCCUUGAUCGCUUGUGUUAAUUUGCCAACACAUGGAAACAGCUUAACAACGCUGUAGCUCUUUGCCACGUUACACCACAAAUCUCAGAAAUGUUCAAACGUGUCAACACGCGUUUUUAAUUUUACAUAAAUAAAACAAUUCUCAUUGCAUAUAAAUGACAAAUGAAAGGGAUAAACAAACAUCCAAGGUUACUUUUACCUUCAUUGAAGACUGCUGUUUCCAAAGACACACUGGGUCAGCGAGACGCCACCCGGACGCCAUCUUCCUGUUUUGCCAUGAGUAUACAGUAUUUCUUUAAUUCAACAGCGUUUCUCACCUUCUUUAUCAAAACGCUGCCGCUUACAUCUUUCUUUGACUCCGUUUAGGUACUUUAGCAACUGCGACCAAAAGGAAAGCACACUUGACGUGAGAAACAGUACUUUAGUCACGUAGAUGGAGAAGCAACAGCCAGUGCCUGGUGAAUGCCGACAAGCUUUAUUACAAUUUCAGAUGCAAUAAGUCAAAGCAAUCAUUUCAAUGUACUUAAAAAUGUUGUCGUCUUCCAGCACGUGUUGAUUUCAUAAGAUUGCAUACAAGCCCUGUUUUCAAAGAAAAUGACCUGCUCAAUGUUUGACAUGAUACACUAACAUACACACCCCCAGCACUGUUCGACAGCAUUUCCAAACCUCUUUAGGAACUUGCCCACGAGGCGGCGCUGUCCUCAAAUGAAAGUUGCAACCUCUCCCGUACACAAGUGCUUGGAAAAUGACACAUAUGGCACAUGAUACAAACAAACACCACCUUGGGGGAAGAGGGGGCUCACAGAGGAGCUAGCAGAGUCUACAGAAUUCACUUGAAAACCAACUGACGGACUUCAUUUCUCACAGCACGCUGGCCUUAUUCAAUAUGAACAGAACAUGACAUGACCACCACGCGGUAAAAACAGAAAAAUAGCUCCCUUUCAGCACCUAUGUGUCGUUUCAGCUUCAACUGUGCUUUUAUUGUGUGCCGGCAGGAUGUUAACACAAUAAAGCAUGGAAAUAAAAAAAAGAAUAAUAAGAAAAAAAAUUAAGGAAAAUGUCUUUUUUUUUUUUUUUUAUA